rnacentral:rRNA from 1 species
AACCGUGGUAAUUCUAGAGCUAAUACAUGCUAAAAACCCCGACUUCGGAAGGGGUGUAUUUAUUAGAUAAAAAACCAAUGCCCUUCGGGGCUCCUUGGUGAUUCAUGAUAACUUUACGAAUCGCAUGGCCUUGCGCCGGCGAUGGUUCAUUCAAAUUUCUGCCCUAUCAACUUUCGAUGAUUGAGUAGUGGUCAAUCAUGGUAUCGACGGGUAACGGAGAAUUAGGGUUCGAUUCCGGAGAAGGAGCCUGAGAAACGGCUGCUACAUCCAAGGAAGGCAGCAGGCGCGCAAAUUGCCCAAUCCCAAUUCGGGGAGGCAGUGACAAUACAUACUGAUACAGGGCUCUUUGGGCUCUUGAAAUUGGAAUGAGUACAAUUUAAAUACCUUAACGAGGAACAAUUGGAGGGCAAGUCUGGUGCCAGCAGCCGCGGUAAUUCCAGCUCCAAUAGCGUAUAUUAAAGUUGUUGCAGUUAAAAAGCUCGUAGUUGAACUUUGGGCCUGGCUAGCCGGUCCGCCUCACCGCGUGUACUGGUCCGGCUGGGCCUUUCCUUCUGGGGAUCCGCAUGCCCUUCACUGGGUGUGUCGGGGAACCAGGACUUUUACUUUGAAAAAAUUAGAGUGUUCAAAGCAGGCAUUUGCUCGAAUACCUUAGCAUGGAAUAAUAGAAUAGGACGUGCGGUUCUAUUUUGUUGGUUUCUAGGACCGCCGUAAUGAUUAAUAGGGAUAGUCGGGGGCAUUAGUAUUCAAUAGUCAGAGGUGAAAUUCUUGGAUUUAUUGAAGACUAACUACUGCGAAAGCAUUUGCCAAGGAUGUUUUCAUUAAUCAGGAACGAAAGUUAGGGGAUCGAAGACGAUCAGAUACCGUCGUAGUCUUAACCAUAAACUAUGCCGACUAGGGAUCGGGCGAUGUUAUUAUUUUGACUCGCUCGGCACCUUACGAGAAAUCAUAAGUU